GCCGACGUGGUGGAAUUGGUAGACACGCUAUCUUGAGGGGGUAGUGACCUUGGUCGUGCGAGUUCGAGUCUCGCCGUCGGCA
rfam:Thiobacillus sp. 65-1059 scnpilot_expt_750_p_scaffold_755, whole genome shotgun sequence.